GCAACUCUGAAGGACUCUUCUAAUAAUACAAACCAAUGUUACCCACUUUGUUAACUUCCCAUGUUUCAUUGGUUGUUUUCUAGUAGUCUUUCUUCUGUUUUCCAAGAAGAGAAGUAAAAACAUACUUUUUACCUGUUGAUAUGCUUCUCACCAUAUUUAAGAAUAUUUUCAGGACUUUAUAGUGUGACUUCUGUAUGUGGUGUUUUUAGGAUCCUUAGCUAUCAAUUUCUAAUGGCCUGCCCAGAGGACUUAAUAUUCUGACACAAAAUCUCCGCUGUCCGUAUUAAGAAGUUCUCUUCCUGGUCGUUCUUUUAAAGUUAUUUUUUCAGUAGUGGAGACUGGUUUCCCAUUGGCUUGCUAGCACCUCAGUUUGCUAUAUUAUAAGAAUAGCAUACUCAACUUUUAGAAUAGAACUAUUAUGUGUGUAUACAUAUUAUGAUAUACACAAUUAGAAUAUAUAAUUAUGACAUAUAACUCUAAGUUAUAUAAUUUGAUUUUACUUUAAAAUAAAAUAGCUGCCGGAUAUGGAUUGGCUGUGUCCCACCAAAAUCUCAUCUUGUAAAGCUCGUAAUUUCCACAUGUUGUGGGAAGGACCCAAUGGUAGGUAAUUGAAUCAUGGGAGCAGGUCUUUCUCAUACUGUUCUCGUGAUAGUGAAUAAGUUUCAUGAGAUCUGAUGGUAUUAUAAGGGAGUUCCCCUGCACAAGCUCUCUCUCUUUGCCUGCUGCCCUUCCUGUAAACCGUGACUUGCUCCUCCUUGCCUCCCACCGUGAUUGUGAGGCCUCCCCAGCCAUGUGGAACUGAGGAGUCUCUCUCUGUGGCCACCACAGUUGGAGAUGUGCUGGGUCACCCUUAAAACCAGUAUGGCUCUGAGUCUCACCCAAGACCCCUGGUCCAGAAAAUGGAGCAAUAAUGUCUCAAAAGAGAAAUUGUUUUCAGCUGGAGCUACGGCUUGGAAAACCAGAUGGUUUUCAGCAAAAACUGAAAACUCAACAAGUCAACUGUUCGGGCCCUUUCCUGCUUCUCACCAUCUGGCCACCUGUUGUGGAGCUCAUCUCAUUUUGGGAAUGAUUCCACCUGAUCUAGGGUGCUCAAAUUUGCCAUCACCAAUAUGGGCAGCCUAACAUGAAUACUAUACCACAGGAAUUAAGCAGCAUCAGCAAUGCAAUAUCUCUGCAGAAAUUAUUGACCAGAAUAUAGAAAAAAAGGAAAUUGAAUUCCCAACACAAGACACUCUAAGAUACCCCUCAAGGUAACUAGCCUGGACUCUUUGCCUUUAAUGUUAUGAAGAACACAGAGAAGUAAUGGGAAUUAUUUAGAUUGGGGAAUACUAAAGACCUAUAACAGAAAAACACAAGGAAUGAAAAUGAAUUAAAAAAUUAAAAGGUAAAGGAAAUUGUGCAGCCAACUAGGAAAGCUAAGAAUAGAUAUUUUGCUUGAUUAUAUCAUUGUAACACUGUUUACUUUUGUAGGUAAUUGAUGGUAAUUUGGUUGUAUUUUCAUAGGAGUUAAUACCCUUUGUCUCUGAGAGGUGGAUGGUGAAGUAUUUUGGAGUGUGAGGUUCUGAUGUCUGCAGCGUUCUGCCAGAAAGGAAGAUAUAUACCAGUGAAACAAGUUUGGCAAGGUUUUAACCAUUUAUUCGUUCAUGUGAAGGAUGUAUGUGUAUUUGUUGUUAUUCUUUUCUCUGUACAUUUGGAUUGUAAUGAAGAAAAAUAAUUUAAUUAAAAUAAGAACACUCAAAUUUUAAAAAUUUUAUCCUCUCUCAGAACUUUUAAAUUUCAUUUGCAUUAAGGAAAAUUAUUUAAUGCAAAAGAUUACCUUAAGACGCAAUACUUUGCCUUCACAACUUUCUCAGUGAUUUCAUGCUUUAUGUCACCCUAAAACAAAUGGACAAAUGCGUGUACUUCACAGAUAAAUACCAACUCAAAUUUGCUUCAUAAAAAGACAAAUGAAU
ensembl:lncRNA